rnacentral:rRNA from 5 species
UGGGGAUUUUUCCGCAAUGGGCGAAAGCCUGACGGAGCAAUACCGCGUGAGGGAGGAAGGCUCUUGGGUUGUAAACCUCUUUUCUCAGGGAAGAAAAAAAUGACGGUACCUGAGGAAUAAGCAUCGGCUAACUCCGUGCCAGCAGCCGCGGUAAUACGGAGGAUGCAAGCGUUAUCCGGAAUGAUUGGGCGUAAAGCGUCCGCAGGUGGCUGUGUAAGUCUGCUGUUAAAGAGUCUGGCUCAACCAGAUAAAGGCAGUGGAAACUACACGGCUAGAGUGCGUUCGGGGCAGAGGGAAUUCCUGGUGUAGCGGUGAAAUGCGUAGAGAUCAGGAAGAACACCGGUGGCGAAAGCGCUCUGCUAGGCCGCAACUGACACUGAGGGACGAAAGCUAGGGGAGCGAAUGGGAUUAGAUACCCCAGUAGUC